rnacentral:rRNA from 1 species
GAUGAACGCUGGCGGCGUGCCUAAUACAUGCAAGUCGAGCGAACGGACGAGAAGCUUGCUUCUCUGAUGUUAGCGGCGGACGGGUGAGUAACACGUGGAUAACCUACCUGUAAGACUGGGAUAACUUCGGGAAACCGGAGCUAAUACCGGAUGAUAUUUUGAACCGCAUGGUUCAAAAGUGAAAGACGGUCUUGCUGUCACUUAUAGAUGGAUCCGCGCUGCAUUAGCUAGUUGGUAAGGUAACGGCUUACCAAGGCAACGAUGCAUAGCCGACCUGAGAGGGUGAUCGGCCACACUGGAACUGAGACACGGUCCAGACUCCUACGGGAGGCAGCAGUAGGGAAUCUUCCGCAAUGGGCGAAAGCCUGACGGAGCAACGCCGCGUGAGUGAUGAAGGUCUUCGGAUCGUAAAACUCUGUUAUUAGGGAAGAACAGAUGUGUAAGUAACUGUGCACAUCUUGACGGUACCUAAUCAGAAAGCCACGGCUAACUACGUG